UACGGGGGGAGCAAGCGUUGUUCGGAUUUACUGGGCGUAAAGGGCGCGUAGGCGGUCGUGACAAGUCACUUGUGAAAUCUCCGGGCUUAACUCGGAACGGUCAAGUGAUACUGUCGGACUAGAGUACAGAAGGGGGCAACUGGAAUUCUCGGUGUAGCGGUGAAAUGCGUAGAUAUCGAGAGGAACACCUGCGGCGAAGGCGGGUUGCUGGGCUGAUACUGACGCUGAGGCGCGAAAGCCAGGGGAGCGAACGGGGAU
rnacentral:rRNA from 1 species